CACCUGCUCUCUAGCCAUCUCCUUGAUAACUUCAUAGCUAGGAAACAAGUAAAUUCUAGGAAAUAAGUAUCCUAGAAUUUGUUUAAUAUGGUCUGUAUUGGCAAGUUUAUACUUGUUGCAUUCUUCCUCCUCUGUCUUUCCCCACAACAGGGUCCUCCUUUCUUUACCAAAGCAGAGAAGAGAGGAUUCCAUGCUCACCCAAGAGCAUAAUACAUCCACGUUUCUGACUGAAGAAUGAAUUUGGACAAGAGUUUGACAUGAAUUGAUGAAAAGCCAUCACCCAUUAACUGUGGCUAAAUGCUGAAACGAAGCCCAGUACAGUGGAGGCAUUAAUUUAGUGGCAGGGCACAUGCAUCAUGUUCAAGAAAUCCUUGGUUCAGUCACUGGCAUCUCCAGGCAGGACUAUGGAAGACCCCGGCUUCAAACCCUGAAAGGACACUACCAGUGAAGGUAAACAACCCUGAGUUAGAUGUAACAAAGAAGAUCUGACUCGGUAUCAGGCAACUUCUUACAAUUCCAUAUGUCACACAACAUUCUGCCCUCCCAUGAGGUCUUGAGUCCGGCUCUAGCAAGUUUGCAUGACUGUCACUGCUAGGAAAGGUCACUGAAAUAUGAUGCCAUCAAUAUUUUCUCAUGUAUAUAUGCUAAU